rnacentral:rRNA from 1 species
GAUUAACGCUGGCGGCGUGCAUAACACAUGCAAGUCGAACGAUGAAACUUUAAUGAACCCUUCGGGGAGAAUUAAAGCGGAUUAGUGGCGAACGGGUGAGUAACGCGUGAGUAACCUGCCUUACACAAGGGGAUAGCCUUUGGAAACGAAGAAUAAUACCCUAUAAAACCAUAAAAGCACAUGCAAUUAUGGUCAAAGUGAUAGCGGUGUAAGAUGGACUUGCGUCUGAUUAGCUAGUUGGUGAGAUAAAAGCCCACCAAGGCAACGAUCAGUAGCCGGCUUGAGAGAGUGUACGGCCACAUUGGGACUGAGACACGGCCCAGACUCCUACGGGAGGCAGCAGUGGGGAAUUUUGCACAAUGGGGGAAACCCUGAUGCAGCGACGCCGCGUGAUUUAGAAGGCCUUCGUGUUGUAAAAAUCUUUUGUAUAGGAAGAAAAUGACAGUACUAUACGAAUAAGGUCCGGCUAAUUACGUG